AGCCAAGGAUGACUUGCCG
rnacentral:siRNA from 1 species